rnacentral:rRNA from 1 species
CAGCAGCCGCGGGAAUACGUAGGGUGCAAGCGUUAAUCGGAAUUACUGGGCGUAAAGCGUGCGUAGGCGGUUUGUUAAGUCUGUUGUGAAAUCCCCGGGCUCAACCUGGGAAUGGCAAUGGAUACUGGCAAGCUAGAGUGUGUCAGAGGAUGGUGGAAUUCCCGGUGUAGCGGUGAAAUGCGUAGAGAUCGGGAGGAACAUCAGUGGCGAAGGCGGCCAUCUGGGACAACACUGACGCUGAGGCACGAAAGCGUGGGGAGCAAACAGGAUUAGAUACCCCCGUAGUCCCUGUCUCUUAUAC